GGAGGGGGGAAAACCCCGUGGAGAGAGAGGAAGAGGAAGAGGAAGAGGCUGGAGGAUGCUGGUGCUGAGGCUGAGGCUGGGCGUGUGUGGUCGAAGAUCGUUUAUACUGGGAGGAUGUGUCACGCGGUGGAAAAAAAAAUACAGAGAGACGUGAAGGGCCUGGAGGAGACGACAACUGGAGCGCAUGGAACAAACAUUUGACGGUGUACCCAGAAGGGUCGGAGGGGGUCAUGCAGGGGUUUCUCACGUCUCAUACUUCCUUCAGUACCGGGCACUGACGUCCCCACCACGGUGGGGAUUCAAACUCCAAUUCUGGAUCGCCCACACAACCAUCCAAACCGAUGUUGGACCUUAAAAGUCACUGCACUUCAUAAGGAUUGAACCCACAAUCUUCUGUUUUCAAACCAGUCUUCUAUCACACUGAGUUGCUUCGGACCUUUGAUUGGGAGGAAACGAGGACCUGAGCGCGUGCUUCAAACAGCUCGGAGUCCAGUGUUGUCCCACCUGUUGUCGUCUCUUCAGGGCCUGUGGACCAUCCGAGCCUUUGGAGCAGAGGAGAGGUUCCAGAAAGCCUUCAAUGCCCAGCAGGACCUGCACUCAGAGGCCCGGUUACUGUUGCUGACCACCUCUCGCCGGUUCGCUGUCCGUCUCCACGGCAUCUGCUCCAUCUUUGUUACCGUCACCUCCUUUGGCUGCCUGCUGCUCAGAGACCAUGAGCGCAGAGUCUUCUGACCACAACUGAGGAUGACGGCCUUUCUUCGCUGACUUCAUCCACGUCUUCUUCUGCUGAAUGCAGACGGUGUACCCAGAUGGGUCGGAGGGGGUCAUGCAGGAGAAAUGCAGGGGUUUUUCAA